UCUGGGCUCGAGCCUGCCUGGAGCCGCCGCCGGUGCAGAUCUUGGUGGUAGUAGCAAAUACUCCAGCGAGGCCCUGGAGGACUGAUGUGGAGAAGGGUUUCGUGUGAACAGCCGUUGCACACGAGUCAGUCGAUCCUAAGCCCUAGGAGAAAUCCGACGCCUACGGCGACGGGAUUUUGAAAAAUUUGAAAUCGACCCGUUGAUCGGGCGAAAGGGAAUCCGGUUCCUAUUCCGGAACCCGGCAGCGGAACCGCUGUUUGUCGGGCCCUCACAAGGGGUUCGUCAGGGUAACCUAAAAGGGCCCGGAGACGCCGUCGGGAGCCCCGGAAAGAGUUUUCUUUUCUGCAUGAGCGUUCGAGUUCCCUGGAAUCCUCUCGCAGGGAGAUAGGGUUUGGAACGCGAAGAGCACCGCAGUUGCGGCGGUGCCCGGGAAUUCCCGACGGACCUUGAAAAUCCGGGAGAGGGCCACGUGGAGGUGUCGCGCCGGCUCGUACCCAUAUCCGCAGCAGGUCUCCAAGGUGAAGAGCCUCUAGUCGAUAGAAUAAUGUAGGUAAGGGAAGUCGGCAAAUCGGAUCCGUAACUUCGGG
rnacentral:rRNA from 1 species